rnacentral:rRNA from 1 species
CAAUAGCGUAUAUUAAAGUUGUUGCAGUUAAAAAGCUCGUAGUUGGAUUUCUGGUGGGAGCGAUCGGUCUGGCGCUUAGCGCGAGUACUUGCAUCGUCUCCGGCCAUCCUUGGGGAGAGUCUGUCUGGCAUUAGGUUGUCGGGCAGAGGAUCCUCAUCGUUUACUGUGAAAAAAUUAGAGUGUUCAAAGCAGGCUUAUGCCGUUGAAUAUAUUAGCAUGGAAUAAUAAGAUAGGACUUUGGUACUAUUUUGUUGGUUUGCGCACCAAAGUAAUGAUUAAUAGGGACAGUUGGGGGUAUUCGUAUUCCGUUGUCAGAGGUGAAAUUCUUGGAUUUACGGAAGACGAACUACUGCGAAAGCAUUUACCAAGGAUGUUUUCGUUAA